UCUUAACCACUGUAUCUCAAAAACUAUUCAUCACAACUAAAAAAUAAAACAUAUUUAACAAGGCUUUUGUAAGAGUUUGGGCGGCAUUUCCAGGAGUAGUUUUGUGACCCUGGUGGUAGUGUGACCCUUCCUCUGUACCGUGAACCUAAGAAACACACAUUUGACAAGGCUUUCAUAGGAGCUGUGGGCAUUUCCAGGGGUAGUUUUGUGACUGGUGGUAGUGUGACCCUUCCUCUGUACCAUGAACCUAAGAAACACACAUUUGACAAGGCUUUCGUGGGAGUUUUUUGGGCAUUUCCAGGGGUAGUUUUGUGACCCUGGUGGUAGUGUGACCCUUCCUCUGUACCAUGAACCUAAGAAACACACAUUUGACAAGGCUUUCGUGGGAGUUCUGUGGGCAUUUCCAGGGGUAGUUUUAUGACCCUGGUGGUAGUGUGACCCUUCCUCUGUACCGUGAACCUAAGAAACACACAUUUGACAAGGCUUUCUUAGG